UUUUGGCACACGGAGGCCGCCCGCCAAGUCUGGGGCCAUUCCGAGUCCCGCGGACGAACUUCGCCCACGCCCCCCACCAAGGCUAUAGCCCACCCGUUUUUUGGCCAUUUUUCCGCUGGGGGGUCUUGGGACCCCGACCUUCGGGGGCUGAUUUUUGGGCGCGGCUGUGCCCGUGGCCUAUUUUUGGCACACGGAGGCCGCCCGCCAAGUAUGGUGCCAUUCCGAGUCCCGCGGACGAACUUCGCCCACGCCCCCCACCAAGGCUAUAGCCCACGCGUUUCUUGGCCUUUUUUCCGCUGGGGGGUCUUGUGACCCCGACCUUCGGGGGCUGAUUUUUGGGCGCGGCUGUGCCCGUGGCCUAUUUUUGGCACACGGAGGCCGCCCGCCAAGUCUGGGGCCAUUCCGAGUCCCGCGGACGAACUUCGCCCACGCCCCCCACCAAGGCUAUAGCCCACGCGUUUCUUGGCCUUUUUUCCGCUGGGGGGUCUUGGGACCCCGACCUUCGGGGGCUGAUUUUUGGGCGCGGCUGUGCCCGUGGCCUAUUUUUGGCACACGGAGGCCGCCCGCCAAGUCUGGGGCCAUUCCGAGUCCCGCGGACGAACUUCGCCCACGCCCCCCACCAAGGCUAUAGCCCACCCGUUUCUUGGCCAUUUUUCCGCUGGGGGGUCUUGGGACCCCGACCUUCGGGGGCUGAUUUUUGGGCGCGGCUGUGCCCGUGGCCUAUUUUUGGCACACGGAGGCCGCCCGCCAAGUCUGGGGCCAUUCCGAGUCCCGCGGACGAACUUCGCCCACGCCCCCCACCAAGGCUAUAGCCCACGCGUUUCUUGGCCAUUUUUCCGCUGGGGGGUCUUGGGACCCCGACCUUCGGGGGCUGAUUUUUGGGCGCGGCUGUGCCCGUGGCCUAUUUUUGGCACACGGAGGCCGCCCGCCAAGUCUGGGGCCAUUCCGAGUCCCGCGGACGAACUUCGCCCACGCCCCCCACCAAGGCUAUAGCCCACCCGUUUCUUGGCCAUUUUUCCGCUGGGGGGUCUUGGGACCCCGACCUUCGGGGGCUGAUUUUUGGGCGCGGCUGUGCCCGUGGCCUAUUUUUGGCACACGGAGGCCGCCCGCCAAGUCUGGGGCCAUUCCGAGUCCCGCGGACGAACUUCGCCCACGCCCCCCACCAAGGCUAUAGCCCACGCGUUUCUUGGCCAUUUUUCCGCUGGGGGGUCUUGGGACCCCGACCUUCGGGGGCUGAUUUUUGGGCGCGGCUGUGCCCGUGGCCUAUUUUUGGCACACGGAGGCCGCCCGCCAACUCUGGGGCCAUUCCGAGUCCCGCGGACGAACUUCGCCCACGCCCCCCACCAAGGCUAUAGCCCACCCGUUUUUUGGCCAUUUUUCCGCUGGGGGGUCUUGGGACCCCAACCUUCGGGGGCUGAUUUUUGGGCGCGGCUGUGCCCGUGGCCUAUUUUUGGCACACGGAGGCCGCCCGCCAAGUAUGGUGCCAUUCCGAGUCCCGCGGACGAACUUCGCCCACGCCCCCCACCAAGGCUAUAGCCCACGCGUUUCUUGGCCUUUUUUCCGCUGGGGGGUCUUGUGACCCCGACCUUCGGGGGCUGAUUUUUGGGCGCGGCUGUGCCCGUGGCCUAUUUUUGGCACACGGAGGCCGCCCGCCAAGUCUGGGGCCAUUCCGAGUCCCGCGGACGAACUUCGCCCACGCCCCCCACCAAGGCUAUAGCCCACGCGUUUCUUGGCCUUUUUUCCGCUGGGGGGUCUUGUGACCCCGACCUUCGGGGGCUGAUUUUUGGGCGCGGCUGUGCCCGUGGCCUAUUUUUGGCACACGGAGGCCGCCCGCCAAGUCUGGGGCCAUUCCGAGUCCCGCGGACGAACUUCGCCCACGACCCCACCAAGGCUAUAGCCCACCCGUUUCUUGGCCAUUUUUCCGCUGGGGGGUCUUGGGACCCCGACCUUCGGGGGCUGAUUUUUGGGCGCGGCUGUGCCCGUGGCCUAUUUUUGGCACACGGAGGCCGCCCGCCAAGUCUGGGGCCAUUCCGAGUCCCGCGGACGAACUUCGCCCACGCCCCCCACCAAGGCUAUAGCCCACCCGUUUCUUGGCCAUUUUUCCGCUGGGGGGUCUUGGGACCCCGACCUUCGGGGGCUGAUUUUUGGGCGCGGCUGUGCCCGUGGCCUAUUUUUGGCACACGGAGGCCGCCCGCCAAGUCUGGGGCCAUUCCGAGUCCCGCGGACGAACUUCGCCCACGCCCCCCACCAAGGCUAUAGCCCACGCGUUUCUUGGCCAUUUUUCCGCUGGGGGGUCUUGGGACCCCGACCUUCGGGGGCUGAUUUUUGGGCGCGGCUGUGCCCGUGGCCUAUUUUUGGCACACGGAGGCCGCCCGCCAAGUCUGGGGCCAUUCCGAGUCACGCGGACGAACUUCGCCCACGCCCCCCACCAAGGCUAUAGCCCACCCGUUUUUUGGCCAUUUUUCCGCUGGGGGGUCUCGUGACCCCGACCUUCGGGGGCUGAUUUUUGGGCGCGGCUGUGCCCGUGGCCUAUUUUUGGCACACGGAGGCCGCCCGCCAAGUAUGGUGCAAUUCCGAGUCCCGCGGACGAACUUCGCCCACGCCCCCCACCAAGGCUAUAGCCCACCCGUUUCUUGGCCUUUUUUCCGCUGGGGGGUCUUGGGACCCCGACCUUCGGGGGCUGAUUUUUGGGCGCGGCUGUGCCCGUGGCCUAUUUUUGGCACACGG
rnacentral:lncRNA from 1 species